GAUGAACGCUGGCGGCGUGCCUAAUACAUGCAAGUCGAGCGAACAGACGCGGCGCUUGCUCCUCUGACGUUAGCGGCGGGCGGGUGUGUAACACGUGGAUACCCUACCUAUAAGUCUGGGAUCACUUCAGGAAACCGGAGCUAAUACCGGAUAAUAUAUUGAACCGCAUGGUUCGAUGGUGAAAGACGGUUUUGCUGUCUCUUCUAGAUGGAUCCCCGCCGCAUGAGCUGGUUGGUAAGGUCACGGCUUACCACGGCAACCAUGCGUAGCCGACCUGAGAGAGUGAUCGGCCACACUGGAACUUGAACACGGACCAGACGCCUACGGGAGGCAGCAGUAGGGAAUCUGACGCAAUGGGCGAAAGCCUGACGGAGCAACGCCGCGUGAGUGAUGAAGGUCUUCGGAGCGUAAAACUCUGUUAUUAGGGAAGAACAAAUGUGUAAGUAACUAUGCACGUCUUGACGGUACCUAAUCAGAAAGCCACGGCUAACUACGUG
rnacentral:rRNA from 1 species